rnacentral:rRNA from 1 species
GACAGAGGAUGCAAGCGUUAUCCGGAAUGAUUGGGCGUAAAGCGUCUGUAGGUGGCUUUUCAAGUCCGCCGUCAAAUCCCAGGGCUCAACCCUGGACAGGCGGUGGAAACUACCAAGCUGGAGUACGGUAGGGGCAGAGGGAAUUUCCGGUGGAGCGGUGAAAUGCAUUGAGAUCGGAAAGAACACCAACGGCGAAGGCAGUGUCCUGGGGAGUACCUGACGCUCAGGUGCGAAAGCCAGGGGAGCGAACGGG